rnacentral:rRNA from 1 species
GACGAACGCUGGCGGCGUGCCUAAUACAUGCAAGUUGAGCGAUGAAGAUUGGUGCUUGCACCAAUUUGAAGAGCAGCGAACGGGUGAGUAACGCGUGGGGAAUCUGCCUUUGAGCGGGGGACAACAUUUGGAAACGAAUGCUAAUACCGCAUAAUAACUUUAAACAUAAGUUUUAAGUUUGAAAGAUGCAAUUGCAUCACUCAAAGAUGAUCCCGCGUUGUAUUAGCUAGUUGGUGAGGUAAAGGCUCACCAAGGCGAUGAUACAUAGCCGACCUGAGAGGGUGAUCGGCACAUUGGGACUGAGAAACGGCCCAAACUCCUACGGGAGGCAGCAGUAGGGAAUCUUCGGCAAUGGACGAAAGUCUGGCCGAGCAACGCCGCGUGAGUGAAGAAGGUUUUCGGAUCGUAAAACUCUGUUGGUAGAGAAGAACGUUGGUGAGAGUGGAAAGCUCAUCAAGUGACGGUAACUACCCAGAAAGGGACGGCUAACUACGUG